AAAGGGAGACCUAAUUCCAGUAGGAGACGAAAAAAAAGUAGUCCCUACCAAGAAUCAAUCCCAAAAGGUCGGAGCGAGGCAAAAUUGGCUUUCAAACUAGGUUCUGGGUUCACACAAGACCUGAAUCAGGAACAAGGGCUAUUAGCUCAGGUGGUUAGAGCGCACCCCUGAUAAGGGUGAGGUCCCUGGUUCGAGUCCAGGAUGGCCCACCUGCACAGGUGGAAGAAAGAAAAAAAGCUCCGAAUCAGCACCUUAUCUUACUUAUAUAGUAAGAGAGAAUGCUGGCUCUGAGUACAGAGUCCAGAGGAACCUUGAAAACUGCAUAGAGCUAGGUGAAAAAGCCAAAAAAGAAGACCGCAAG
rnacentral:tRNA from 1 species